rnacentral:pre_miRNA from 1 species
ACAACAACAUUCGGACCGUCGGUCUACCGAGCAAUAUCACCCGCUCGGUGGAAGAUCUUCCCUUUCGUCGUUCAGC